UUCGUGACAAGAGCGACGUCCAUCGGGUA
rnacentral:piRNA from 1 species